rnacentral:rRNA from 1 species
UACAGAGGGUGCUAGCGUUGUUCGGAAUCAUUGGGCGUAAAGGGUGCGUAGGUGGGUUGGUGAGUCAGUGGUGAAAUACUUUCGCUUAACGAAGGAACUGCCAUUGAUACUACCAGCCUUGAAUACAGUGGAGGUGGGCGGAAUGCGUCAUGUAGCAGUGAAAUGCUUAGAUAUGACGCAGAACACCAAUUGCGAAGGCAGCUUGCUACGCUGUUAUUGACACUGAGGCACGAAAGCGUGGGGAUCAAACAGG